AACGAACGCUGGCGGCAGGCUUAACACAUGCAAGUCGAGCGCCCCGCAAGGGGAGCGGCAGACGGGUGAGUAACGCGUGGGAAUCUACCCAACCCUACGGAAUAACGCAUGGAAACGUGUGCUAAUACCGUAUACGCCCUACGGGGGAAAGAUUUAUCGGGGAUGGAUGAGCCCGCGUUGGAUUAGCUAGUUGGUGGGGUAAGGGCCUACCAAGGCGACGAUCCAUAGCUGGUCUGAGAGGAUGAUCAGCCACAUUGGGACUGAGACACGGCCCAAACUCCUACGGGAGGCAGCAGUGGGGAAUAUUGGACAAUGGGCGCAAGCCUGAUCCAGCCAUGCCGCGUGAGUGAUGAAGGCCCUAGGGUUGUAAAGCUCUUUCACCGAUGAAGAUAAUGACGGUAGUCGGAGAAGAAGCCCCGGCUAACUUCGUGCCAGCCGCCGCUGUAACAC
rnacentral:rRNA from 1 species